CUAUUGUUCUGGACAUUGAUUACAAAUCAGGAACCCCUAUGCAGAGUGCAGCAAAAGCACCCUACCUGGCCAAAUUUAAAGUGAAACGAUGUGGAGUUAGUGAGCUU